rnacentral:rRNA from 1 species
GUGACAGCCGCCGCGGUAAUACGUAGGGGGCAAGCGUUGUCCGGAUUUACUGGGCGUAAAGCGCGUGUAGGCGGAAGCGCAAGUCCGGUGUGAAAGCCCCCGGCUCAACCGGGGAAGGUCGCUGGAAACUGCGCUUCUUGAGGACGACAGAGGGAAGUGGAAUUGCUGGUGUAACGGUGAAAUGCGUAGAGAUCAGCAGGAACACCCGUGGCGAAGGCGGCUUCCUGGGUCGUGCCUGACGCUGAGACGCGAAAGCGUGGGGAGCGAACGGGAUUAGAUACCCCCGUAGUCC